AAAGCUUUAGCGAUGUUAACUGAAAAGUUUUCAUUGGCUUGUCUUUCUGCCCUUGUCAUAAAUUGUGUGUUAUUUUCCAGACGACCAGAACCAAUGGUAUAUACAUUGUUAUGAGAGGGUUCAUUGGAUGAGCACAUAUAAUUUUAGGCAGAAAUAGAUCCACGAUGGCCAACCUCAGGCUGGAACCAUGGAAACAAGUACCAGACUAGUUCAAGAAGCUGGAAGCCUCAGAACAAGGAAAAGAGGCCAACAGUAUAGUGGCAGUCUGAGGCUGCAGGCCUGGAAUUCUCCUAGAGAGGACACCCUCACAGAGGACUUCCACUGUGGAAUGUGCCUGAGUGUGUCUACACAUUAGCACUAAAGAGGCAAGCCCUACACACCAAGCAGGCUUGGAGACUUUCAGAGGACUUGGUAGAGACAAGGAUGCCAAGUUGUCCCAGGAAGUUUUCCGCAGAGAAGUCGUUCUGGGCCUAGGAACAAGGUGAGAGAGAACGAAUGAAGGAGAGAACAGCUCAGGCGUGACUGACAGCAGGUGGAAGUGAGCUGGAGCAAGCUUCUGCCCAGACCUGAGCCGCUCGGAAAAAGGCAGCUUGCCUCCACCCUCCCUCCUCCACCCGGCCAUCUGUGCGGUGCCUGUUCACCCUGUCCCCUCUCGGCCAUCGGGGGGCUCUGAGCCUGCGGCCUCCUCCCUGCCCAGCGGCCACAGGUCCCCAGCCCCGCCUCCCCCCCUC